AGACGAUUACGCAAAGCAAAGCUCACACCAAACCAGAACCCGGACCCCGUCGCCGUCUGCCUACUCCGCUCGGCUCGGCUCUGGCACCACCAAACUCCACCGCGCGCCACGCCUCCGUCGGCCGGCGGAGACCGAUCCACCGAGCCAGCCUAUCACACUAUCAGCAGCCAGGGCGCGCGGGGCGGGCGGGAUGCCGGGGCCGGGGGCGCACCUGCUGUACGCGCUGUCGGGCGGGGCGGCGCUGUCGCGGCUCGCCGGGCCGGGGGACCGCCGCUUCGGCCCGCACCACUGCGCCGUCUACGCCGCCAACGCGUUCCUCGGCCCGGACCUCGGUUCCUUCGCAGAGUGGCUCUGCUCUUUCCUCCCGUCCUCGGCCGCCGCGUCGGCCGCGGGGGACCUCGCCAUGGCGGCCGUGCACCACCCGUUCUACUACCCGCUCCUCCUCGGCCUCCCGCUCGCCUGGGCCUACGCCUGGCUCUCCCGCCGGCUGCUCCGCGCGGGCGUCCUCGACUCCGCCGCUGGGGUGCCACUAAACAAGAGGCAGUGCUUCUUGCUUAUCUCGGCCGGCUCGCUGUCUCAUUUUUUCUUGGACCACUUGUUUGAGGAGAAUGGCCAUUCUAGAAUGUACACUUGGAUCCUGAGCACUGGUUGGUGGAAAGGCCGUGCUCCUAUCAAUUCAGAUGCAGUGGUCGUUGUAGGACUUCUUUGCACUUGCCUCAUGGGGAUAUUUGUGUACAUCAACAGAGUGAAGCAUGGCAAGUCUGCAGCAGAAAAAUCAAACCAAUCUUUCUUUCUCAUCCUGGUGAUAGCCACCCUGUACUGUAUGUGGUGUGCCAGUCAGAUAUACCUGCGGCAACCCUCUCAACCUGCCAUAGUAAGUUGAAAGAGAGCAUAUUCACCUGGACCAUGGUAGUGAAUUCAAGUGUUAAAUUAAACUCACUAUCAUCAUCUGGUCAUUGUCUUUUCUAAGAGAUCUCUAGAGCCUUCUCCAGCCUGGACACAACUUGCUCCAUGGAUGGCCGCUGCUUCUUGUGGCCAGUGCAUGACAGAGCAAGCUUCAAACUGAGAUCAAAUGCAUCUGUUGAGUACUCUCCAUUCAGCCUAGGAUCAGCAAACUCCAAUACAUUGCCAUCUUGGAUAAGCGUAGAAGCCUGGGAACGACCAAUACACAGAUUCAGCUCAAUCAAUUACUUCAUCAUCCCAUAAUGAGCUGCAGGAGCACCAUGCCAAAGCUGUACACAUCCCCUGCAGCAUUCACCUUGUGGUUGUGGCGGUAUUCUGGAUCGACAUAGCCAAAGGUUCCUCUGACUUCAGAGCUUACAUGUGACACACCUAGGUCGAUGACUUUUGAGAGUCCAAAAUCUGACAGCUUGGGUUCCAUAUCAACCCCAAGAAGUAUAUUGGUCGGCUGUCAUAGCAAUUAGCAAGUAUGAGUCUGACUAAAUGUGAAUCUACAGAUGCACUGAAGCAUUUCAGAUCAUGCAACAAACCUUGAUGUCUCGGUGAACAAUGCAGCCUUCAGGAUAUAUGUGCAGGAACCAAAGGCCGCAAGCGCUUCCGAGCGCUAUCUGAAGCCUCUGAAUCCACGAAAGAUUACCGUUGACGCACAGCUCAUACACAAGAAAGCACUCCUCCCGCCCAUCACAGUAACCUCUUAAUGACACCAGAUUCGGGUGCCUGACAUGUGACAAGCUUGUAACUUCCCUUAGGAAGGUUUCUGCAUGCUCAUUCUUAACGAUGUGUUUCACUGCAACAGGCCAGCCAUUUGCAAGCACUCCUCUGUACACUUUUCCUGGAACGACAAGGGGAACAAGUUGCAAACCAUCAAGAACAGCAUCUUUAAAUACUUUCCCUGGGUCUAAGUCUCAUUCCCAUUGAUGAAAAAUAUACUUUAUGCUUGCUUGAUGGUAUAAAUACCAAAACCUUGAGCCGGUUAUUAUGGACAUGUACCUGCAAUACCCUGGCCGAUGACGUUUGAUGGACUUAAGUUUUCAGUUGCGGUGUAUAUAUCUUUGAUUGACAUCGGCUUGCAGGUAGUCUCCUCAUACUCAAGGGAUACCAAUGUGACCUCUGUGAGAUAAACAUAUGCAGUCACAUAUUGCUAGAAAACGGCAAUGAGCCCAACUAUCACCCCAGCAGAGAGGCAUCCUAGCAGUGCUUCAUAUCCUGCGGAUAAAUUUGAUGAGCUCAAAGUUUGAAAGAUCAGGCAGAACAGAAUGGGUGAAGAGAGGUAAAGCCACAAACCUCUGUGCAUCCUUUAGGUUAUGGGGCGUGUGGGAAGAACACCAGAUUGAUUCUCACUUACCUUGUGUCUGUUCUGAUCAAAGCAAGUUAAUGUCAACACAAUCUAUACCCAGUCGUUAUUACCAAUGAAGUGUUGGGGACUAGCAAUUGCCGGCCGAGACGUAGGCAUGGAAGAAGCCAAAAGCAGGAAAAAAUAUUAUAUCCCGCAACCUGUUUGGGUCUGGAUCAGAAAUCCGGAAUCCAGCAUCAACAGUGUCAAGUAUAUUUGUACAUGUACAGGUGUACUUGGAUUGUUGGGUUGUUGGGUUAGUGGAGGUCCACUAGUUUUCACUCUUUCUAUUAGUCAGUGCAUUUGGAGUCAAGUGAAGGAGCGGCAGACAAAUGUUGCAACUCUAUGCAUAGUGGAAUGAUCUAAAAUAUAAACUAGAUUACUGGAACA